GAAGUGCGAUAAGCAAUGCGAAUUGCAGAACCGUGAGUCAUCAGAUUUUUGAACGCAACUGGCGCCGGUUGGCUCUCCAACCGGCAUGCUUGUUUCAGUGUCUCUUUAUCUCAUCACCCAUAUCAUAAUGCGAGAGAUACCCUUCUCUUGCUAAGCUCGAAAGCACUCUGCGCUCUGCGAGCGGCUUCGACUUGUUCGAGGGUCGCACUCAAUGCAGCCGUCACAUUGCUCACAAUGUGAACUCAUUGAGAGCUGAGGCACUGUAGCGUAAGCUACCAGUGCUUAGUCACACAAACUUUACUUGCAUCUGGAAUCAAGCAGGAUCACCCGCUGAACUUAAGC
rnacentral:misc_RNA from 1 species